CCUACGGGAGGCAGCAGUGGGGAAUAUUGCACAAUGGGGGAAACCCUGAUGCAGCGACGCCGCGUGAGUGAAGAAGUAAUUCGUUAUGUAAAGCUCUAUCAGCAGGGAAGAAAAUGACGGUACCUGAGUAAGAAGCCCCGGCUAACUACGUGCCAGCAGCCGCGGUACUACGUAGGGGGCAAGCGUUAUCCGGAUUUACUGGGUGUAAAGGGAGCGUAGACGGCAGUGCAAGUCUGGAGUGAAAGGCGGGGGCUCAACCCCCGGACGGCUCUGGAAACUGUACGGCUGGAGUGCAGGAGAGGUAAGUGGAAUUCCUAGUGUAGCGGUGAAAUGCGUAGAUAUUAGGAGGAACACCAGUGGCGAAGGCGGCUUACUGGACUGUAACUGACGUUGAGGCUCGAAAGCGUGGGGAGCAAACAGGAUUAGAUACCCUUGUAGUC
rnacentral:rRNA from 1 species